rnacentral:tmRNA from 2 species
GGGGAUGCUAGGCAUCGACGGUUAGUCGUGUCGGUUGUGUGCAGUGUCGAAAUUGGUAAUCAAUUCGUUAAAAGGUUCCAACUUGUACAUGCAAAGAAAGCUGUACCAAGUCCUUACGCUCGCGCGUUUGGAUUCAGUCCCGCCUUCGCGUAAACAUACGCCAGCCGGAUUGACGCUCGAAAGUUAAACGUCUCAUACGACUUUUCGGGUGGAAUAGACACGAGACUGUGAAAGCCUUUGUCGUUGUCGUAGGUUUUCAAGAUUCUAACAACUCGAGUAAUUAGUGUUUUGUUCAUUCUUUAACUAAUUACUCCAAACCAAAGAAUGUACUAUGCACUGUAGACCCACAAUCACACCCUAAUUCGGACGCGGAUUCGAUUUCCGCCAUCUCCACAU